CAGUAGCCGCGGGAAUACGUAGGGUGCAAGCGUUAAUCGGAAUUACUGGGCGUAAAGCGUGCGCAGGCGGUUUGUUAAGACAGAUGUGAAAUCCCCGGGCUCAACCUGGGAACUGCAUUUGUGACUGGCAGGCUAGAGUAUGGCAGAGGGGGGUGGAAUUCCGCGUGUAGCAGUGAAAUGCGUAGAUAUGCGGAGGAACACCGAUGGCGAAGGCAAUCCCCUGGGCCUGUACUGACGCUCAUGCACGAAAGCGUGGGGAGCAAACAGGAUUAGAUACCCCCGUAGUCCCUGUCUCUUAUAA
rnacentral:rRNA from 1 species